AACAAACAACUAACAGUCUCCUUUUCUCCCAAAACAGACUGUACCGGGGCGUGGCGCGGUCACUGCCGGGCGGAGCCGGGGGCUGUCUGUGUCAGUGAACUCUACCACACAAAGGAGAGGAAACAAAACAAAGCCAGGAAGCCUGACAUUAAUUCGGAAUUCACUGCCUCUACUGUAGAUUUUGCUUUUGCCUUUGAAAAGCCUGUUUCCAAGACUUGGGACACCGCUGCUGCUGGGAGAGAGGAAAAUAGCACCUCUGGGUGAUGGUGAGGCAGCAUAUAAGAAGCAAAAUUAGACUGUAUGCGCAUUGGAAAGUGAUUUUUCCCUAUCGAUCCAUGCAGAAAGUGUAGCGUUAAGUCUCCUGCUGAGUCAGCUGUCUGCUGUGCAGCGUCCUGAUGAACGGGAGUCGGUGCAGCGCGGCGGACUGUCCGGUGGGCGGUGUCUUCUCAGUGGAUGGGCUGCCGCCGCUGCCCAAAGGCCUGAGCGGCAUCCUGAACUCCAGCGGCGGGUCGUGGAGGGACAUCGAGAAGGUGCACAGUAAGAGAGCGCGCAUACAGGCCGACAUCAGCCGCGGUGGCGGGGACGCGCCGCGUGGUCACAGCAAACCGGGCGGACUGGACGCUGCUCUGGCUUUGCUGCGGAAAGAGAUGGUGGGUCUGCGUCAGCUCGACAUGUCUCUGCUGUGCCAACUGUGGUCGCUCCAUGAGUCCAUCCAGGAGUACAAGGGCUCCUCGCUCCUGUCUGAGGCCUCGCUCAGUGCUGAUAAUGGUUCCUCUGAGGAGGAUGAAGAUGAGGGGGAGACAGGAGUUCUCUCACAGCCUCCAUCCUCUUCGUCCUUGUCUCUGCCUCCACCCAACAGCAACUCCAGGGACCAGUGGAUCAAAGACUCUUUUCAUAUUCCCUGAUGAAGAUACACACACGCUCCAUUCACUAUGCGCUGUUGAGACACCUUAACUGCCCUAUUUACACUAGUUUUUAUGCCAUACAUCUCUUAUCCUGAUUUUUUUUCUGGCUAUGGGCCAAAUCACAGCAAAUCAUCAAAUCUCAGGGUAUCAGUAAUACUGUCCAUCCAUCCAUACCAGUGUUGACUGGCUGUUUAUUAGCUUCUAAUCUCGUACUACCUGUGUGCUUAAUUUCCCAUCGGUUGUAUAUCUCAGCAGAAAUAACGCCAACUACAAGAGGAAAAAAAUCAAGACAGAAAAGUAAGAACAGAUGUUAACAGCUUUUUGCUCUUUUUUUUCAUAAUCUUCGUGCUACUACAUGCUGCUUUCUUGUUAUUGAAUUCGAUUUAUGUGGAAUAUUUCUAUAAUUAUUGUAUAAUCAGGUAUGAUUCCUCUUUUGAUACAUCUGAUCCCUGUUUGUGGUUUUCCGAUAAUUCCAGACUUUUCAGACUCUCUGUUUUGUAUAUCUAGCAGGAUAAUCUUUCCUAUCGCACAGUAUUCUGCCAUUUUGUCUUGACUGAAGAACAGACGUGCUUUCAAUCAAUAAUCUGUGUUCUCUUUCAUUGUAUGAGCAUUUGACACAGUAUACACACUUCUUACCCAAAUAUGAGGAGCAAUUAUUUUGAAAAUGAAAAUUUUUGAAAUUUUUUAUCUUGUCAUUCUGUAAAAUCAGACAUUUGUAAAUCUUCCCAACCUGACUUUUCCUGUUGAGUUACAGGCAACAAAACAUGUAUGCACAGUAGCUUCUAUUAGUAGUAUCUUGGCUGCCUAUUCUAUAUGUUAGAAUACAUAUAUACUUCUAUGUUUUACAUUCUAUGUGCUGCUGCUGUUUCAGCCAGGACACAAGAUUUUUUUUUUUUUUUUAUCUCACUGAGGUACCUCUCUUGGUUAAAUACAAUAUGUAUGUUGAAAUACAGCUUCACUAGUCCAAACUCAUAACAAACCGGAGAAAAAAAAUAAGGCAAAUUAUCCCUUUCUGUGAGGACAACAAACUCAAGGUUAAUUCUAGUGGGAAUCUGCAUGGAUGCAGGCAUAUUAGGAGUUCAAUAAAUAAUCAUAAAUCGUGA